rnacentral:rRNA from 1 species
AGUGGCGCACGGGUGAGUAACGCGUGGAUAACCUGCCCUGGUAUCUGGAAUAACAUCUCGAAAGGGGUGCUAAUACCGGAUAAGCCCACGGAGCCUUCGGUCUCUGCGGGAAAAGGUGGCCUCUAUUUAUAAGCUACCGUACCAGGAUGGGUCCGCGUACCAUUAGCUAGUUGGUGGGGUAAUGGCCUACCAAGGCGACGAUGGUUAGCUGGUCUGAGAGGAUGAUCAGCCACACUGGAACUGAGACACGGUCCAGACUCCUACGGGAGGCAGCAGUGGGGAAUUUUGCGCAAUGGGGGAAACCCUGACGCAGCAACGCCGCGUGAGUGAUGAAGGCUUUCGGGUCGUAAAGCUCUGUCAGUGGGGAAGAAAUGAAAGUAGUUAAUACCUGCUUUUCUUGACGGUACCCACAAAGGAAGCACCGGCUAACUCCGUGCCAGCAGCCGCGGUAAUACGGAGGGUGCAAGCGUUGUUCGGAUUUAUUGGGCGUAAAGCGCGUGUAGGCGGUUUCUUAAGUCUGAUGUGAAAGCCCUGGGCUCAACCCAGGAAGUGCAUUGGAAACUGUCAGACUUGAAUACGGGAGAGGGUAGUGGAAUUCCUAGUGUAGGAGUGAAAUCCGUAGAUAUUAGGAGGAACACCGGUGGCGAAGGCGGCUACCUGGACCGAUAUUGACGCUGAGACGCGAAAGCGUGGGUAGCAAACAGGAUUAGAUACCCUGGUAGUCCACGCCGUAAACGAUGAGUACUAGGUGUUGC